rnacentral:rRNA from 1 species
AGAGCUCGUAGGCGGUUUGUCGCGUCUGCCGUGAAAGUCCGGGGCUCAACUCCGGAUCUGCGGUGGGUACGGGCAGACUAGAGUGAUGUAGGGGAGACUGGAAUUCCUGGUGUAGCGGUGAAAUGCGCAGAUAUCAGGAGGAACACCGAUGGCGAAGGCAGGUCUCUGGGCAUUAACUGACGCUGAGGAGCGAAAGCAUGGGGAGCGAACAGGAUUAGAUACCCUGGUAGUCCAUGCCGUAAACGUUGGGCACUAGGUGUGGGGGACAUUCCACGUUUUCCGCGCCGUAGCUAACGCAUUAAGUGCCCCGCCUGGGGAGUACGGCCGCAAGGCUAAAACUCAAAGGAAUUGACGGGGGCCCGCACAAGCGGCGGAGCAUGCGGAUUAAUUCGAUGCAACGCGAAGAACCUUACCAAGGCUUGACAUGAACCGGUAACGCCUGGAGACAGGUGCCCCGCUUGCGGUCGGUUUACAGGUGGUGCAUGGUUGUCGUCAGCUCGUGUCGUGAGAUGUUGGGUUAAGUCCCGCAACGAGCGCAACCCUCGUUCUAUGUUGCCAGCACGUGAUGGUGGGGACUCAUAGGAGACUGCCGGGGUCAACUCGGAGGAAGGUGGGGACGACGUCAAAUCAUCAUGCCCCUUAUGUCUUGGGCUUCACGCAUGCUACAAUGGCCGGUACAAAGGGUUGCGAUACUGUGAGGUGGAGCUAAUCCCAAAAAGCCGGUCUCAGUUCGGAUUGGGGUCUGCAACUCGACCCCAUGAAGUCGGAGUCGCUAGUAAUCGCAGAUCAGCAACGCUGCGGUGAAUACGUUCCCGGGCCUUGUACACACCGCCCGUCAAGUCACGAAAGUUGGUAACACCCGAAGCCGGUGGCCUAACCCCUUG